UACAUUUUUGUGUCUUUUUGUUCUGGCCAGUGUCACGCUUCAAACAAUACAAUUUUUGUUUAGAAUAACUCUUCUAGGGAUACUACUGAAUGCGGGUCUCAUCUCAGAAUGGUUUAGGCCUUAGUCCACUUCACUGAUCAAGUGCAAAUUGGCUUGGCAGAUUUCACUCACCUUUGAGGACACUGUAGAGAACUCUCAAAUGUGCAGAGUUGGGUCGGAGCGUUUUUCUGACGCUUAAAGUAUGCGGUCGGAAUCUCUAUGGCAUUCAACUCAAUGGAUAAAGACGCCUAUAGCCAAGUGUGCUCAGGCUAAUUUGCACGAAACGUCGUUGAGCUUUGUACAAAUAAGGGUGUUUGUACACGGCCCGAGUAAACGGCGCAGUGGCUGAGGACUGUGUGCUCACUGCACUAUAAUUUAAUUCUACGUAGCACGAAUUUGUGUUGGUAAAUUUUUAGUAGGAGGUUUUCAGUUUUCAUUAUUAAUGCCAGUGUGGGGUAAUUGCGUAAUGCACUUUCUAAACAGUUUUAUUCAGCUUCUCUUUUUUAAGGACAUUUUUUGCUAUAAUUAUGAAAUUAGUUUCCCCUUACAGUGUUCCCGUACUCGGGUAUUUUUUCAGA